AAGGUAGCUCAAGGGUAGAGCAAAGCAUUUAGUUGUGGGUCGUAGGUUCGAUUCCUACUCUUGAGCA
rnacentral:tRNA from 1 species